rnacentral:rRNA from 1 species
CCCUUAGAUGUUCUGGGCCGCACGCGCGCUACACUGAUGCAUUCAACGAGUCUAAAACCUGCUCUGAUAGGGGUGGGUAAUCUUUUGAAUGUGCAUCGUGAUUGGGAUAGAUGAUUGCAAUUUUUCAUCUUCAACGAGGAAUGCCUAGUAAACGCAAGUCAUCAGCUUGCAUUGAUUAUGUCCCUGCCCUUUGUACACACCGCCCGUCGCUCCUACCGAUUGAAUGAUCCGAUGAAUAUCAUGGAUUGAGGAUGUAAGCAGGUUCGCCUGUCUUCAUCUUCGAGAAGUGAAGUAAAUCUUAUCAUUUAGAGGAAGGAGAAGUCGUAACA